CUCAGGAUGAACGCUAGCGGCAGGCUUAACACAUGCAAGUCGAGGGGUAGAGGAAGCUUGCUUCCUUGAGACCGGCGCACGGGUGCGUAACGCGUAUACAAUCUACCUUUACAGAGGGAUAGCCCAGAGAAAUUUGGAUUAAUACCUCAUAGUAUUUUCGGAUCGCAUGAUUUGAUUAUUAAAGUUCCAACGGUAAAAGAUGAGUAUGCGUCCCAUUAGCUAGAUGGUAAGGUAACGGCUUACCAUGGCAAUGAUGGGUAGGGGUCCUGAGAGGGAGAUCCCCCACACUGGUACUGAGACACGGACCAGACUCCUACGGGAGGCAGCAGUGAGGAAUAUUGGACAAUGGGCGCAAGCCUGAUCCAGCAAUGCCGCGUGCAGGAUGAAGGCCUUCGGGUUGUAAACUGCUUUUGUACGGAACGAAACGGUGAGCUCUAAUACAGUUUGCUAAUGACGGUACCGUAAGAAUAAGCACCGGCUAACUACGUG
rnacentral:rRNA from 1 species